CCUACGGGAGGCAGCAGUGGGGAAUAUUACACAAUGUGGGAAACCCUGAUGCAGCGACGCCGCGUGAGUGAAGAAGUAAUUCGUUAUGUAAAGCUCUAUCAGCAGGGAAGAAAAUGACGGUACCUGAGUAAGAAGCCCCGGCUAACUACGUGCCAGCAGCCGCGGUAAUACGUAGGGGGCAAGCGUUAUCCGGAUUUACUGGGUGUAAAGGGAGCGUAGACGGCAGUGCAAGUCUGGAGUGAAAGGCGGGGGCACAACCCCCGGACUGCUCUGGAAACUGUACGGCUGGAGUGCAGGAGAGGUAAGUGGAAUGCCUAGUGUAGCGGUGAAAUGCGUAGAUAUUAGGAGGAACACCAGUGGCGAAGGCGGCUUACUGGACUGUAACUGACGUUGAGGCUCGAAAGCGUGGGGAGCAAACAGGAUUAGAUACCCGAGUAGUC
rnacentral:rRNA from 1 species